CCACCAUCGUAUUGGAUACAGAGUUAUUCAAAUAUUUCGAUGAUGAAUUCACGCAGUUGAAGUCAGCGUGGCGGGAAAUGUUUCCCGCGAAGGCAGAAGGGCGGUUUAUAUAUUCCGACGGAGUUUUUGCUACGUGGCAACCGCAUGCCAAGAAGAUGUAUAUGGUGCAUGGGCAGGGGGUAUCUUCGACUCAUGGCGAUUGGAUGAAUGCCACAACGCUCAUUUUGCCUAUACAUGUGUGUGGACGUUACAUUACAUAC